UUGAGAAAAAAAAAAGUAUAAUUCAGGCACCGGUAUCAAAAUCAAGGUAUUAUUUUGGUACUGAUAUUGAAAGAUCUUGAACAAUGCCCAGCCCAACCCUUGGGUCAAAACUACCAGAGCAUUCACCCAAUUUGUCAGUUCUUUGACCUUGUUGAUUUUACCUAACUGUUCCAUUGUUAUGUGUCUUGGUGGGUCAACAACAGGAGCAUCAUCUGAUUUUAAAUGGAUGGAGCAGUCACCAGAAAAGAGUUCAAUUCUUCUGAAAACAUCUUUGUAUUCAUUCACAAUUGUGUUUUCACCCAUUUGUUUGGACAAAGAGGACUAACUUGAUAAGGUCCAUAUCAAAACAUGCUUUCAGGCCAAGAACUGGAGGAGCACUUGUUUCAACAAUGUGAAAAUCCAGGCACAAUUAUGUCCUUAUAUCUACACUGCAAAUGACAGUUUCCUUUAACAGAAAAUGGUUCACAGCCAUAACCUGACUGUCUGGUAGCAACAGGCUGUAGGUUAGACUUCACUCCUAAAUCCAGGUAAUCAUGAAAGGGAAUUACGCUUACUUAGGCACCCAUAUGUCUAACUUGAACCUGAGACUUUUCAUAUAUAUGCACAUCGAUUGCUAUGCCUGUGUAUGCAACUGUAAAAUACACUAUGCAAUUGUAGUAAAGUGCACAUACUUUGGUCUGACACGUGACAUCUGUUCUAUCAUUCGUUGGCAUUUAACUUUCGCUUUUGGUUAUACGGAGACGUCUGGUCGAUAUGAAAAAUAUCUCGUUUGAAGCAUAAAGAAGUAAGGAAACAUUUGUUCUUCGAUUCGUCACGACAAGAGAAAGCGCAAAUAAAACACAAUAAUCAUGAACAGUCGGGAGCAAGCUGGACAAAGUAUGGAUUCUAGCCCAGCUGAUGUCAUGAAGCUUGCUGCUGAGGCCCAGCAGCCCAACUUGGCUGCCCAGGAUUCCAAUAACCCAAACAACGCGAUUUCUGGGAAGGGCACUGAUCCUGCAAGAGAGAAGAGUGAAUCUGAUGAGUGGGUGGAUCUUGCUCCAG